GUGCCAGCCGCCGCGGUAAUACGUAGGGUGCAAGCGUUAAUCGGAAUUACUGGGCGUAAAGCGUGCGCAGGCGGUUAUAUAAGACAGAUGUGAAAUCCCCGGGCUUAACCUGGGACCUGCGUUUGUGACUGUAUAGCUGGAGUACGGUAGAGGGGGAUGGAAUUUCUCGUGUAGCAGUGAAAUGCGUAGAUAUGAGAAGGAACACCGAUGGCGAAGGCAAUCCCCUGGACCUGUACUGACGCUCAUGCACGAAAGCGUGGGGAGCAAACGGGAUUAGAUACCCUGGUAGUCCACGCCCUAAACGAUGUCAACUGGUUGUUGGGUCUUCACUGACUCAGUAACGAAGCUAACGCGUGAAGUUGACCGCCUGGGGAGUACGGCCGCAAGGUUGAA
rnacentral:rRNA from 1 species